GUGCUCCCUUCAGCAGCACAUAUACUAAAACUGGAACGAUACAGAGAUUAGCAUGGCCUCUGCACAAGGAUGACAUGCAAAUUCGUGAAGCGUUCCAUAUAUUU
rnacentral:snRNA from 1 species